UUGUACUAGGGUUACAAGCUUUAGGUCACGGCCGUUGUGAUCUUGAAAGAGUUUAGUAAUUUGCCUUGCCAGGCCCCAGAGACGUAGCCACAUCGGUGAACUCUGGGUAAUCAAUUAAUCUCUGUGUGUGCUCCUGUUCUUAUUUCGUUUCUCUUUCAUUCUUUGCGUAUUCGUGUUCGUGAGGGUUAUUCCGUGAGAGUUACGUUUCGCGACUUGUUCAACGUCGGUUUGAGAUUGAACAGUUUCGCGGGUUCAUAUCGAACACUAAAACGAACCUAAAUCCUAACACGUUCUUCAGUCGGCUAUUCCAUGUAUAAAUAGGCUGAGAGUUGUUCAUCCGUCGCGGAGGCCAGGCUGCUGCGAUUCUGGGAAGCUGAGAAUGUCAAGCGUUGGGCCGAUUUGCUCUUUGUCACGUAAACGGAUGCUGUCGGAGCUGUGAUGAAGAUCUGGGUUUGAAUUGUAAGCUCCAGGAUCAGAGAUUAGGGUUCCGAGCACCCAAGUUGACCAUCUCCGAGAAGCUAUCUCUUGGCAAGAGAAAGAUAGAAGAAGGGAAGAAGAAUAUAGA